rnacentral:rRNA from 1 species
GGAAUUUUGGACAAUGGACGCAAGUCUGAUCCAGCCAUUCCGCGUGCAGGAUGAAGGCCCUCGGGUUGUAAACUGCUUUUGUACGGAACGAAAAGGUCUCUAUUAAUACUAGGGGCUCAUGACGGUACCGUAAGAAUAAGCACCGGCUAACUACGUGCCAGCAGCCGCGGUAAUACGUAGGGUGCAAGCGUUAAUCGGAAUUACUGGGCGUAAAGCGUGCGCAGGCGGUUAUGUAAGACAGAGGUGAAAUCCCCGGGCUCAACCUGGGAACUGCCUUUGUGACUGCAUAGCUAGAGUACGGUAGAGGGGGAUGGAAUUCCGCGUGUAGCAGUGAAAUGCGUAGAUAUGCGGAGGAACACCGAUGGCGAAGGCAAUCCCCUGGACCUGUACUGACGCUCAUGCACGAAAGCGUGGGGAGCAAACAGGAUUAGAUACCCUGGUAGUCCACGCCCUAAACGAUGUCAACUGGUUGUUGGGUCUUCACUGACUCAGUAACGAAGCUAACGCGUGAAGUA